GAUGAACGCUGGCGGCGUGCCUAAUACAUGCAAGUCGAGCGAACAGACGAGGAGCUUGCUCCUCUGACGUUAGCGGCGGACGGGUGAGUAACACGUGGAUAACCUACCUAUAAGACUGGGAUAACUUCGGGAAACCGGAGCUAAUACCGGAUAAUAUAUUGAACCGCAUGGUUCAAUGGUGAAAGACGGUUUUGCUGUCACUUAUAGAUGGAUCCGCGCCGCAUUAGCUAGUUGGUAAGGUAACGGCUUACCAAGGCAACGCUGCGUAGCCGACCUGAGAGGGUGAUCGGCCACACUGGAACUGAGACACGGUCCAGACUCCUACGGGAGGCAGCAGUAGGGAAUCUUCCGCAAUGGGCGAAAGCCUGACGGAGCAACGCCGCGUGAGUGAUGAAGGUCUUCGGAUCGUAAAACUCUGUUAUUAGGGAAGAACAAAUGUGUAAGUAACUAUGCACGUCUUGACGGUACCUAAUCAGAAAGCCACGGCUAACUACGUG
rnacentral:rRNA from 1 species